GAUGAACGCUGGCGGCAUGCCUUACACAUGCAAGUCGAACGGCAGCGCGGACUUCGGUCUGGCGGCGAGUGGCGAACGGGUGAGUAAUGUAUCGGAACGUACCAUUGAGUGGGGGAUAACGUAGCGAAAGUUACGCUAAUACCGCAUAUUCUCUCCGGAGGAAAGCAGGGGACCGCAAGGCCUUGCGCUCUUUGAGCGGCCGAUAUCAGAUUAGCUAGUUGGUGGGGUAAAAGCUCACCAAGGCGACGAUCUGUAGCGGGUCUGAGAGGAUGAUCCGCCACACGGGAACUGUGCCACGGUCCAGACUCCUACGGGAGGCAGCAGUGGGGAAUUUUGGACAAUGGGGGCAACCCUGAUCCAGCCAUGCCGCGUGAGUGAAGAAGGCCUUCGGGUUGUAAGGCUCUUUUGUUCGGGAAGAAAAGGCCUUGCCUAAUACGUGGGGUUCUUGACGGUACCGGAAGAAUAAGCACCGGCUAACUACGUGCCAGCAGCCGCCGCCGUAA
rnacentral:rRNA from 1 species